CUCUACGUAUAUGGGUAGUUAUAUCUUUCUCCACGUAGAUAAAUACAUGGAUAGUGGUGUAUGGGCAGUUUGUUAAAGAUGAUGAACAAAGUGGAUUUAAUAGGUAGUUAUCUAGGCAAUGGGUAGUUAUUUAGGUAGUGGGCAGUUGUGUUGUAUUCGCCUAUAUAUUUGGGCUCCUUGAAUUGAAAUGUUUUUGUGGUUGUGUGUGGAAAAAUGUAGUGUAUGUAGAAAAAUAUAGUGUGUGUGGAAAAAUAUAGUGUGUACGUAUGGAAAAAGUUGAGUAAACUUCAAUUUUGUGUUUAUCACUCCAAGAAAGAAAGUGUUUGUGUUUAUAUCAUAGCCUCAUACAUAAAAUUUCAACAGACCUUCACAAAGAAGAUCAGUUGAUUGAGAGGAUGCUGGAUGACUCCCUUAAGUUGCUAGAUGUGUGCAGCACAGUAAGAGACACUGUGCUGGAUGACAGAGCAACAACAAUGUGUACUGUCUGCUCUUCGUAGCGGAGACUAUAAUGGGUUAGAGGGCCAAGUUCAAGCCUACUUUUCGGCCCAAAGGAAGAUGAUCAAGGAGCUAGCAAAAUGUCUGAGAGCUUUGAAAGGAAUUAGCAGAUCGUUUCAUUUUGAAGGACAUGAAGCUGCGCCUGCCAAUGAGGUUGUGAAGGCAUUGAAACAAGUUGGAUCUCUCACCAGGACGCAAGUAUUAACUACCAUUCCUUUGGUCUCCUGCCCACAAACAACUCUCUUUGGUUAUAUGAGGCAAAGUCACAAGCUAAGUCUCCAAGCCCCAAAGGUUGGAACUGAAGUCUGAACCUUAAGAGUUGUGCAAUAGAUGCCCCGAUGCCAUACCAUGUUUGUUCCAAUAGCUUGCCCAUUGGCUCUCACCCGGUCUUGUGCCAAUUGAAUGAGAAGUUACACCGGAUUAGUGGCUCUGUUCAACAAAAGGUGGAGUGCCUCGCCGAUUCUCUUGUAGAAUUGUAUGACAACUUCAAUUGUCUUCUUCAAUUGCCACACACCCUUGAUGUCCUCCGUUCGGAAGAUAAAUCAGUCAAUGAGAUGCUUGAGGACUCUCUUAAAUUGGCAGAUGUUUGCAGCGCAAUGAGAGAUGUCAUAUCCCGUUUGAGACAGCAACAUUGAAUUGUUCUAUCUUCUCUGUGUAGGAGAGACUGCGCACGGUUGGAAGGCGAAGUUGGAGCUUACAUCUCAGUCCGAAGGAAGAUGAACAAGGAGUUGGAAAAAUGUCUAAGCACCUUGAGAAGAACUCGAAGAUCGAUCUCUUCUCGGCUCCCACAAAAUCGUUCCCUACAAAAUGAGGAUGUGGUGGUUGCCUUGAGCCAAGUGGAAUCUGCCUCUCUCUUUGUGUGUGAAUCUCAGCUUCUGAAAUUCAAAAUGCCAAAGAAAAGCCAAUCGAUCAUAUCCACCAUCUUCAGACACAAGACCCCGCAGCAAAAUGAGGGAACCAGUGAUUGGGAAUGUGCAAAUGCUUCCGUGUGUUCCAUCUAUAGAAACUCCGGCAAAGUUGAUGAGAAGUGUGCCAAGGAUGCCCAAAGAAAAUUGGCCUCAUUGGACGAAUUCAUGAGGAACAUUGAUGAUCGGUUGGGUGGCAUCAGCAAUCGCAUGAUUAGAAGCCGUGUUUCCCUUCUUAACAUCAUCACAAACUAAUUGUUCCAAACAAAUUAACCCCAAUUCUUGGCUCUUGGGCAUCCGCAUUUUACGCUACUUGUAAUAUAUAUAUAUUUUUGUC